ACGAACGCUGGCGGCGUGCUUAACACCUGCAAGUCGAACGGAAAGGCCCUGCUUUUGUGGGGUGCUCGAGUGGCGAACGGGUGAGUAACACGUGAGUAACCUGCCCUUGACUUUGGGAUAACUUCAGGAAACUGGGGCUAAUACCGGAUAGGAGCUCCUGCUGCAUGGUGGGGGUUGGAAAGUUUCGGCGGUUGGGGAUGGACUCGCGGCUUAUCAGCUUGUUGGUGGGGUAGUGGCUUACCAAGGCUUUGACGGGUAGCCGGCCUGAGAGGGUGACCGGCCACAUUGGGACUGAGAGACGGCCCAGACUCCUACGGGAGGCAGCAGUGGGGAAUAUUGCACAAUGGGCGGAAGCCUGAUGCAGCAACGCCGCGUGCGGGAUGACGGCCUUCGGGUUGUAAACCGCUUUCGCCUGUGACGAAGCGUGAGUGACGGUAAUGGGUAAAGAAGCACCGGCUAACUACGUG
rnacentral:rRNA from 1 species